rnacentral:misc_RNA from 1 species
UAGUAGUAGUAGCAGCAGCAGCAGGCAUUGUUAUUGCGGAACUAAAAUCAGCUGCGGAUGAAUCAGUUGGAAACGCAACAUGUUGUUCUGCAGCCGAUUUUGUAGGAGAAGAGAAUAGAUUAUCAGGAAGGUUGUGGUCAAAGCUAUCUUGAGGAUCGGAGUCAUCAGUAUUUGAGGUCUGCUCCUUGCUGCAACUGCCAUUUCUGUUAUUUGUAUGUGGCAUCUCCUGAUUCUCAUUAGCUGCAUUACCUAGGGGGUUGAUGGGUUCGUGGACGCCAUUAUUUUCUGCUAAGG